AUUCCUACGGGGGGCAGCAGUGAGGAAUCUUGGUCAAUGUCCGCGAGCCUGAACCAGCCAAGUAGCGUGAAGGAUGACUGCCCUACGGGUUGUAAACUUCUUUUAUAAAGGAAUAAAGUGAGGCACGUGUGCCUUUUUGUAUGUACUUUAUGAAUAAGGAUCGGCUAACUCCGUGCCAGCAGCCGCGUUAAUACGGAGGAUCCGAGCGUUAUCCGGAUUUAUUGGGUUUAAAUGGAGCGUAGAUGGGUUGUUAAGUCAGUUGUG
rnacentral:rRNA from 1 species